rnacentral:rRNA from 1 species
AGGGAAUCUUCCACAAUGGACGCAAGUCUGAUGGAGCAACGCCGCGUGAGUGAAGAAGGUUUUCGGAUCGUAAAGCUCUGUUGUUGGUGAAGAAGGAUAGAGGCAGUAACUGGUCUUUAUUUGACGGUAAUCAACCAGAAAGUCACGGCUAACUACGUGCCAGCAGCCGCGGUAAUACGUAGGUGGCAAGCGUUGUCCGGAUUUAUUGGGCGUAAAGCGAGCGCAGGCGGAAUGAUAAGUCUGAUGUGAAAGCCCACGGCUCAACCGUGGAACUGCAUCGGAAACUGUCAUUCUUGAGUGCAGAAGAGGAGAGUGGAACUCCAUGUGUAGCGGUGGAAUGCGUAGAUAUAUGGAAGAACACCAGUGGCGAAGGCGGCUCUCUGGUCUGCAACUGACGCUGAGGCUCGAAAGCAUGGGUAGCGAACAGGAUUAGAUACCCUGGUAGUCCAUGCCGUAAACGAUGAGCGCUAGGUGUUGGGGGACUUUCCGGUCCUCAGUGCCGCAGCAAACGCAUUAAGCGCUCCGCCUGGGGAGUACGACCGCAAGGUUGAAAC